AGGGCACCACCCGGAGUGGAGCCUGCGGCUUAAUUUGACUCAACACGGGGAAACUCACCCGGCCCGGACACCGGAAGGAUUGACAGAUUGAUAGCUCUUUCUUGAUUCUGUGGAUGGGGGUGCAUGGGCGUUCUUAGUUGGUGGAGGGAUCUGUCUGGGUAAUUCCGAUUACGAACGAGACUCUAACCUAUUAAAUAGACGUCGGGUUCUCUGCACUCGACGGUCUUCUUAGAGGGACAAGGUGCUUUUAGCACCGCGAAACAGAGCAAUAACAGGUCUGUGAUGCCCGUAGAUGUCCGGGGCCGCUCGCGCGCUACACUGAAGGAAGCAGCUGGUAACAUCCUUAUUCUAACGAACUGGGUAACCCGUGAAACUUCCUUCAUGAUUGGCAUAGGGGUGUGCAAUUGUGCGCCUUGAACGAGGAAUUCCCAGUAAAGACUAGUCAUCAGCUAGUGAUGAUUACGUCCCUGCCCAUUGUACACACCGCCCGUCGCUACUACCGAUUGAAUGGUUUAGUGA
rnacentral:rRNA from 1 species